AUUGAACGCUGGCGGCAGGCCUAACACAUGCAAGUCGAGCGGAUGAAGGGAGCUUGCUCCUGGAUUCAGCGGCGGACGGGUGAGUAAUGCCUAGGAAUCUGCCUGGUAGUGGGGGAUAACGUCCGGAAACGGGCGCUAAUACCGCAUACGUCCUGAUGGAGAAAGUGGGGGAUCUUCGGACCUCACGCUAUCAGAUGAGCCUAGGUCGGAUUAGCUAGUUGGUGGGGUAAAGGCCUACCAAGGCGACGAUCCGUAACUGGUCUGAGAGGAUGAUCAGUCACACUGGAACGGAGACACGGUCCAGACUCCUACGGGAGGCAGCAGUGGGGAAUAUUGGACAAUGGGCGAAAGCCUGAUCCAGCCAUGCCGCGUGUGUGAAGAAGGUCUUCGGAUUGUAAAGCACUUUAAGUUGGGAGGAAGGGCAGUAAGUUAAUACCUUGCUGUUUUGACGUUACCAACAGAAUAAGCACCGGCUAACUUCGUG
rnacentral:rRNA from 1 species